rnacentral:miRNA from 1 species
CAUGACACAGAUUAAAGGAUGUG